UACGGGGGGGGCAAGCGUUGUUCGGAAUUACUGGGCGUAAAGGGCUCGUAGGCGGCCAACUAAGUCAGACGUGAAAUCCCUCGGCUCAACCGGGGAACUGCGUCUGAUACUGGAUGGCUCGAAUCCGGGAGAGGGAUGCGGAAUUCCAGGUGUAGCGGUGAAAUGCGUAGAUAUCUGGAGGAACACCGGUGGCGAAGGCGGCGACCUGGUCCGAUACUGACGCUGAGGCGCGAAAGCGUGGGGAGCAAACAGG
rnacentral:rRNA from 1 species